rnacentral:rRNA from 1 species
CAGGCCUAACACAUGCAAGUCGAACGGAGCUACUUUGACAGAUUCCUUCGGGAUGACGUUGAUUUAGCUUAGUGGCGAACGGGUGAGUAACACGUGAGCAACCUACCUUUCAGAGGGGGACAACAGUUGGAAACGACUGCUAAUACCGCAUAAGACCACGCUAUGGCAUCGUAGAGGGGUCAAAGGAGAAAUCCGCUGAAAGAUGGGCUCGCGUCCAAUUAGCUAGAUGGUGAGGUAACGGGCUCAACAUGGGCGACGAUUGGGUAA